GUUUUUGUAGCUCAGUUGGUUAGAGUGCUUGCUUAGUUAGCGGAUAUCUUGAGUUUGACUCUGGACAAGAACA
rfam:Nicotiana attenuata strain TT chromosome 12, whole genome shotgun sequence.